rnacentral:lncRNA from 1 species
GGCGGCGGGGCCAGCGCGGAGCCUGCGCCUCCCGCUCGGCCCUGCUCGUCCAGAGCUGCUGCCGGGAAGCACGGCUUCCGGCCAGUCCGCAGCGGCAGCACCGCCGUCCGGGUUUGACCCGCAGCGCUCACGGCCGCCUGCGCUCAGAGAGGCUCGGGGAGAAGACUGCGUGCGGCUGGGAGCCGGGGCGGGUGCUGAAGACUGGACUCUGAAGACUGAAGACUGAACUUAGUCCUUUCACACAGAGCUACAUUCCUA